rnacentral:rRNA from 1 species
GUGGGGAAUAUUGCACAAUGGGCGCAAGCCUGAUGCAGCAACGCCGCGUGAGGGAUGACGGCCUUCGGGUUGUAAACCUCUUUUAGUAGGGAAGAAGCGAAAGUGACGGUACCUGCAGAAAAAGCACCGGCUAACUACGUGCCAGCAGCCGCGGUAAUACGUAGGGUGCAAGCGUUAUCCGGAAUUAUUGGGCGUAAAGAGCUCGUAGGCAGUCUGUCGCGUCUGCUGUGAAAACUGGAGGCUCAACCUCCAGCCUGCAGUGGGUACGGGCAGACUAGAGGGCGGUAGGGGAGAUUGGAAUUCCUGGUGUAGCGGUGGAAUGCGCAGAUAUCAGGAGGAACACCGAUGGCGAAGGCAGAUCUCUGGGCCGUAACUGACGCUGAGGAGCGAAAGCGUGGGGAGCGAACAGGAUUAGAAACCCGUGUAGUCC